AGUUCACAUGUGUACGUCGGAAGUGAUACUUGGGUCUGGCAUUCAAGGACGCUCUCGUUCCUGUUCCAGCGUCUCGCUGGAGUCGGUCGUGGUCCAGGAGUCAAGAGCCCGCCCGGGAGAAGGAGCAGGUCACGGUCUCGGUCCGAAAGGCGCCACCAGAGAAAGUACGGGCGCCACUCGCAGUCUUCCUCGCGGAGCGGGUCGCGAUCCCGUAGGAAGUGUCGCUCUCGGGGAAGGUCGUAUUACAGAAGGGCCUUCUCGAACACGCAGGGUGACAGUACUAGGGCUCUGACCCUGUGGUGUACCCGAAAGAACACAGCACUUGGAGGGAGAGAUCCAGGAAGAGGUCGCAGAGCAGAACCCCGUUUCCUGUAAAAUGGAGCUAUUAGAAAUAGCAAAAGCAAGCGCAGCUAAAUCAUUCGGAACAGCCAACCUUGACUUCCCAGCUAGUCUCAGAACUGUUCCUUGUAUCUAAAGAAAGAAACUGUGGAACAGCUGUACUAAAUACUGCAAAGUUCAAGAACUGCGUGAUGAUCUUUGAAGAGGCCAUAAGGAGCCUAGAAAAGGAUAAACUGUCUGCACCUGCGUUAUUUGAUACUAUGUGUAAGUUGUGACAAAAAACUCACACAGCAAAAAAAUGACUCAUUUUUUGGAAAGAAAACUGCUUUAGAACUGAAAAGAAUGUCACCAGAAAAGGGCAACCAAAUUAAACAGGAUUUUCUCAACUUCUUUACUAGAACAAUAACUCAUUUGGAAUGCAAUUUCGAUUUCACAAGUUCAAAUUACCUCUGUGCUUUAAAACCAUUUUCCCUGAGAAAGAGAGGUUUAACUUACAAGGACAUUCAAUGUGCUUCAGAAUGUUUAAAAAUGAUGGAUAUUUUAGACAUGGAUAACCUCUAUGAUGAAUUUAUAGAUGCAAAGGACCUGAUUGACAAACAGCUGGUCUACCAAAAUAAGCCUGUAGAUAAAAAAUGGAUGGACAUUUUUGGAGAGCUAGAAAUUAAUUCCUGCAAGUCCCAAAACUUGCUGUUGCUAGUAAGUAAAAUCCUAAGUAUUCCACCCUCAAAUAUUUUUAUUGAGAGGAUAUUUAGAUUGAUGUCAUCACAUUGGACAGACACCAUGAAUCAGUGUAAUGUGGGUUUGAUAAGAGCACAACUGCAGGUCAAAGAGAAUUUCACAUUUGACUGUAUUCAGUUUUACCACUACAUAAAAGAAAAGAAGGAUGUCCUAAAGGCAGCAGGCAGUUCAGAGAAGUAUUAUUAGAAAAGGAAACCAAAGGAGUGAAAAGAUCCUGUAUCAUGAGGCAGAAAGGAACAUGCCAUUGUUAUUUUUUAAUAAAUAUAGCAAUGUUUGUUUAAUUAAUCCUAUUGAAUUUACAUUCUCCUUUAAAAAAUUCUUGUUUUUAUGUCUUAAGAAUACAGAAUAAUAUAGCCUAUAAAAUUUAAAUAUUCAAUUGUUUAAAAAAAGUAAAUUGCUGUAUCAGAGGAGGGAAAUGCAUAAAGAUAUUAUUACAUAUUUCUCAUACAUUAUUUAAUUAGUCCUGUUAUUGUCUCUGUUAACUAGUCCUAUUAUUAAAUACUAGCAUUUAUGUAAAUGAAGGAUAAAUUAUACAACAUAUGUAAACACCUGUCUUUCAUAUUUUUAUAUUAAGGUAAUGACACUUGUGUAUAAUUAUU
rnacentral:lncRNA from 1 species